CGUGUAGGCGGUUUCUUAAGUCUGAUGUGAAAGCCCCGGGCUCAACCUGGGAAGUGCAUUGGAUACUGGGAGACUUGAGUACGGGAGAGGGUAGUGGAAUUCCCAGUGUAGGAGUGAAAUCCGUAGAUAUUGGGAGGAACACCGGUGGCGAAGGCGGCUACCUGGACCGAUACUGACGCUGAGACGCGAAAGCGUGGGGAGCAAACA
rnacentral:rRNA from 1 species